rnacentral:rRNA from 1 species
GCCUACGACCAUAUCACCCUGAAUGCGCCCGAUCUCGUCUGAUCUCGUCUGAUCUCGGAAGCUAAGCAUGGUCGAGCCUGAUUAGUACUUGGAUGGGAGACUGCCUGGGAAUACCAGGUUUUGUAGGCU